UACGGAGGGGGCUAGCGUUGUUCGGAAUGACUGGGCGUAAAGCGCGCGUAGGCGGCUCAUCAAGUCGGGGGUGAAAUCCCGGGGCUCAACCCCGGAACGGCCUUCGAGACUGGUGGUCUUGAGUUCGAGAGAGGUGGGUGGAAUUCCGAGUGUAGAGGUGAAAUUCGUAGAUAUUCGGAGGAACACCAGUGGCGAAGGCGGCCCACUGGCUCGACACUGACGCUGAGGCGCGAAAGCGUGGGGAGCAAACAGG
rnacentral:rRNA from 1 species